rnacentral:lncRNA from 1 species
UAUUCCUACUGUGCUCUCUGAGGAUGUGGAUGCUGUUGAUCUGCGGACCACACUUUGAGAAAUACACAGGUGACAGCUGUGGUGGAAAGAACUCCCAUCCAGGAAUCAAAACAUGUCUUCACAUUUUGGCCAUGGAACUUGGGGGUCUUGCUUUGUUGCUCAGGAUGGAGUACAGUGGUGCAAUCUUGUCUCACUGCAGCAUCGACCUCUGGGGCUUAAGCCAUCCUUGCACUUCAGCCUCCCAAGUAGCUGGUACUACAGGGGAUGCAACAACAAGGCGCCAUCUUGGAAGUAGACACCAGGCCCUCACCAGACACCAAACCUGCUGGUGCCUCGAUCUUCAAUUUCCAGCCUCCAGAGUGGCAUGGUUUCUGGAAGAAAAGACUCAAGAUGUUCUCAGUAGCUGCUGUUUUCAGACAUCAUGAAAGUCUUCUCCUACCCUCUAUAAAAACAAACAAUAAAACUCUACAAAGGAAAAGCCCACAAAAACAUGCUGACUUUAGAAGAAUCCAUGAUUUAGAAUAUUUUUAUAAAUAUCUAAGAAAACAGGAGUCCUUUCCAUAUAUAUGGUCCUUGGAGAUACUUUCCAUAUAUAUGGUCCUUGGAGAAUCCAGUUUUUAUGAGAAAGGUGAUUUCCAAAAUCUCUUACACUUUACAAUUUCAAUUUUGGCCUGAGCAUAUCUCUCGAUUGAUCUACCUACCUACAUACUGAUCUAUCUUGGAUAGAGCACUGGACAAAAGGUAGGCACUGUUUACAAUCCACUGACAAGAAAACACAUGAAGAAGCAAACCCCACAGCGCUCUGAAACCUGGAAGAGAUGGGUUCUACAUGGGUCUGAUGGGAUUACUGUACUAACCAGCCUCCGAAUAUCCCGCUCCGACUCCCACUUGAUCUUCGAGAUGGCUUCUUGGUGGGACUGAUGCUCACUCCGAAGGUCCCCAGCCUUGAUUUUAUCUGCUUGGAUCAUAUUGCUCAGAGCCUCGUCCACCUGCUUCUUGGCCGUUUUCAGGUCCGCAAUUUCCUGUAAGAGCUUAAGGCGCUCUGUGUCAAACAGUUUCCGGGCCUCCUCCCGGGCCUCAAUGGUGAGCGCUGUCCUUACUUUGUCACUGCUGCCGUCGCGGAGAGCACAGAGAGCAGACUUGAGCCUCUGGAUCUCUCCAUCACGUACCUUCACCGUCCUUGACAUUUCCUGCUCGUGCUGCUUGAUAAGGUUCUCCCUCACAGCCUGCAGCUCCUUCAUCUUCUCCUCAUGGAGCUUGGCUUUGAGUUCUGUCACCAGCACCGUGUGCUUGCGCUGCUCCAGCUCACGAAUCCUCUUCGCUUCUUGAGUCUUCUCUCUUUCAAGCUUUGAUACCUAAAAACAGAGAGGCGAAAUGAUGAAGAGAAAUGAGCCUCAAAGGACGGGUGUGCUCCUAGGCAGGAUUUGCAGCUCAGGCCGCUGUGAUCUCUUAAUUCCUCAUCUCUUUUCCAAUUCCAGGCCCUCUGAGAAAAAAGAACUACAGGCCUUGAAGCUGGGAAUACAGUGUGUAAGAGGAGGAAAUACCUGAGGAUAUUUAUAUUACUUUGUUCAGAUGAAUAUUUGAUGUUCUGGGGCCUUACUAUGCAAUGUGUGGUCUGCAGACAAGCAGCCUCGGUAUCACCCAGGAAGCAUGUUAGAAGCACAGAAUCCCUGGCUUAGCCCCAGAUCUAUGACUCAGAAUUUGCAUCUUAACAAAUCCCCAUGUGAUUGGUAUACGCCUUAAAAUUAGAAAGUAUCGCUAUCAUGGUUUUUCCCUUUACGGGGAGGACUGCAAAACAGAUCGCCUGGAGAGCUUUUUAGACUACACAACCCUAGCUAGAUCCAAACUGAUAAAUGUGUGUCUUAGAAUAGCUCACAGUUUGAUAUUGUGAUAAGGCUAAUAAAUUAGUGCCUCAAGUGA